UUCACCCUCCUUCUGUCGUGAACAUUCAUUUCCAAAUUGUUUACAUAUAUGGAAAGGAUGAGAUUUCACAUUUCAGACAAUUCUCCAGCAAAUGUAUUUUUGUGUCUUUUGUUUCAAAAUUAGACAUGAGUUUUGCAAUUUCACGGCUUAGACAGAUGAUUUGUACGAUAUGUUGUUUCAUUCGAAUGGCACGAGUGGUUGCACCAUGUAGGCAACUAGGCAUUCGACCUGAAACAAAGCUAGGAUAAUUUAUUGAGAUGUUAAUUGCCUUGGAGCUUCUGGCUUAACUUGAUCUCAGGCUGCACAACCCACACGUGGAAAAGCAUGUUAUACAACAUCUCAUUUUCUACUAAGGUUAGGAUCAUAACAACGAGGCACAACCCUUUAUGGCUUUUCAAUGACUAUAGCAGAAUGCAAUGUAUUUCUAAGAAUUGAAAAUAAAUUCGUUCAUGUGCUUAUUAUCUUGUCUGGGGUACAGAUACGCAGUAGGAAAGCAUUGACCUAUUACGCUUGAUCUGAAGUCAUCGGCUUUUGACCCAAAGGAGAAAGUAUGGACAAGGUUCCCACUGGAAGGCUCAGAAUACACCCCUCCACAGAGUUCUUGUGAUUUCAGAUGGAAAGAUUACUGCCUCCAAGUAUUCUGACAUUGCGCAGGUUGUUCAAGGUUGAUGCAACAGAUUGUAUGCUAUCCCUUUGUGGGGACCAGGCUCUCCGAGGGCUCUCAUCCCCUGGUAAGAGUGGAAGCUUCUUUUAUCUCACGAGCAAUUAUCAUUACAUGAGAAAGACGAUGAAGAAAUAGGGAAUAAAGGUACUAUGUUGCCUAUUCAGGGACCUCACCUUCAUGAGACUGGGGUAGAUGUUAG